AUUGAACGCUGGCGGCAUGCCUUACACAUGCAAGUCGAACGGCAGCACGGGUGCUUGCACCUGGUGGCGAGUGGCGAACGGGUGAGUAAUACAUCGGAACGUACCUUAUCGUGGGGGAUAACGCAGCGAAAGCUGUGCUAAUACCGCAUACGCCCUGAGGGGGAAAGCGGGGGAUCGCAAGACCUCGCGCGAUUAGAGCGGCCGAUGCCUGAUUAGCUUGUUGGUGGGGUAAAAGCCCACCAAGGCGACGAUCAGUAGCUGGUCUGAGAGGACGAUCAACCACACUGGGACUGAGACACGGCUCAGACUCCUACGGGAGGCAGGAGUGGGGAAUUUUGGACAAUGGGGGCAACCCUGAUCCAGCAAUGCCGCGUGAGUGAAGAAGGCCUUCGGGUUGUAAAGCUCUUUUGUCAGGGAAGAAACACCGGCUCUAACACAGUCUGGGAAUGACGGUACCUGAAGAAUAAGCACCGGCUAACUACGUGCCAGCCGCCGCAGUAA
rnacentral:rRNA from 1 species